UCCCAGUGAAGAGGCAUUCAUGGGUUUUACUUCCUGUCCCAGCCAGAGCCCUAUAGGGUGAACUCAUUCAAGCUGGUUGCGGGACAAGAGGAAAAUUUGUUCCAAAAAUAGCUGUGAGAGGGGU
ensembl:snoRNA SNORD22 Small nucleolar RNA SNORD22